rnacentral:rRNA from 1 species
UACGGAGGGUGCGAGCGUUGUCCGGAAUCACUGGGCGUAAAGGGCGCGUAGGCGGCGCACCAAGUCAGGCGUGAAAGCCCUGGGCUCAACCCGGGAAUUGCGCUUGAGACUGGUGUGCUUGAGUACGGGAGAGGAUAGUGGAAUUCCCAGUGUAGAGGUGAAAUUCGUAGAUAUUGGGAAGAACACCGGUGGCGAAGGCGGCUAUCUGGACCGUAACUGACGCUGAGGCGCGAAAGCGUGGGGAGCAAACAGG